UUGCUGUGAUGACAAUCUUAGGACACCUUUGGAACACCCAUGAAAAAAAAUUAACUCUCUCUGAGCAAC
rnacentral:snoRNA from 1 species